rnacentral:lncRNA from 1 species
GUGUAGCUUGUGUUAUACCACUGUUCUGUUAGUGGGAAAUUUCAGGGACGAAAUUUCUUUAAGGAGGGGUGAGUUAUAACAUUCCAAAUUUUGGGGUUAGAAGUUUUGAGUUUUGUGGUUAGGGCCAGUGAGUAGGUUGUGCUAUUGUGUUUAGUUGUGCGUUUUAAUGUAAGAAUGGGUCUGCUGGUCUGGUGGUUGGUUGUGUAUUAGUUUAGUUUGGGGUCCUGGGUUCGAGUCACCAAGAGUGUUUUGAGGGAUUAUUUUUGUUUUGGUUUUAAAAGUUUGGGUAAUUAUUUCCUUUAUUUAGUGUAAUUUUAUUAUUUUAUUAAUUUUUUAGUUUUAGGGCUCUUUUCUUUUUCACGUUCUGCUUCUUUCUUUCUUUUGUUUGCUUUUAUUUUUAUUUUUUUUCUCUUUUGGGAAACGAUUAUGCUUGCUGAUUUCAGAGAACUUCACUCAUUUGUCGUCGAGUCGGUGUCUAAACAUCAUUGAUCACGAAUCAAGUGUGGGUUCCAAAUCUUUCCUAUUUUAUUUACGAAUUUUUGAGUCAAUUCUGUGAACGUCUUCAUUUUACGAG